rnacentral:rRNA from 1 species
GACGAACGCUGGCGGCGUGCCUAAUACAUGCAAGUAGAACGCUGAAGGAGGAGCUUGCUUCUCUGGAUGAGUUGCGAACGGGUGAGUAACGCGUAGGUAACCUGCCUGGUAGCGGGGGAUAACUAUUGGAAACGAUAGCUAAUACCGCAUAAGAGUAGAUGUUGCAUGACAUUUGCUUAAAAGGUGCAAUUGCAUCCCUACCAGAUGGACCUGCGUUGUAUUAGCUAGUUGGUGGGGUAACGGCUCACCAAGGCGACGAUACAUAGCCGACCUGAGAGGGUGAGCGGCCACACUGGGACUGAGACACGGCCCAGACUCCUACGGGAGGCAGCAGUAGGGAAUCUUCGGCAAUGGACGGAAGUCUGACCGAGCAACGCCGCGUGAGUGAAGAAGGUUUUCGGAUCGUAAAGCUCUGUUGUAAGAGAAGAACGAGUGUGAGAGUGGAAAGUUCACACUGUGACGGUAUCUUACCAGAAAGGGACGGCUAACUACGUG